rnacentral:rRNA from 1 species
UGGCGACCAUAGCAUUAUGGACCCACCUGAUCCCAUGCCGAACUCAGCAGUGAAACGUAAUAGCGCCGAUGGUAGUGUGGGGCCUCCCCAUGUGAGAGUAGGACAUCGCCAGGCU